rnacentral:lncRNA from 1 species
UAGCCACAGCGGCAUCGGCUGAGACCUUCAUCCUGAUUGUUCCUUGGGUGCUGUUUAGUGCCAGCCACUGAAGAGAACCUCCUUGUUUCCACCCACGUGGCCCCAUCUGGUUUCAGGGCCUCCUCUGUGCUAUUUUGGGGUGCGAGGAGAUCAUUUUUCAACGCCUACAGCAUGGCGGGACUGGGAACUCCGCAUCCUCCGCAACACUUUUCGUGCCGCCAUUUCUUCUCAGGGUCUUGCCGCCUUUCUCAAGCUCAGCCUGUGGAGUAAAGCGCUGGCACGUCUCUCAGAGACGAGGUCCAUUAUAUUGCCCAGGCUGGUCUCAAGCUCCUGGGCUCAGGUGAUCCUCCCACCUUGGCCUCCCCAAAUGCUGGAAUUACAGUUAUUGCUUGAUGGAUUCUGCUAACUCCCAGGAGAAUCCAAGUGG